rnacentral:rRNA from 1 species
AACGCUAGCUACAGGCUUAACACAUGCAAGUCGAGGGGCAGCAUGGUCUUAGCUUGCUAAGGCCGAUGGCGACCGGCGCACGGGUGAGUAACACGUAUCCAACCUGCCGUCUACUCUUGGACAGCCUUCUGAAAGGAAGAUUAAUACAAGAUGGCAUCAUGAGUCCGCAUGUUCACAUGAUUAAAGGUAUUCCGGUAGACGAUGGGGAUGCGUUCCAUUAGAUAGUAGGCGGGGUAACGGCCCACCUAGUCUUCGAUGGAUAGGGGUUCUGAGAGGAAGGUCCCCCACAUUGGAACUGAGACACGGUCCAAACUCCUACGGGAGGCAGCAGUGAGGAAUAUUGGUCAAUGGGCGAGAGCCUGAACCAGCCAAGUAGCGUGAAGGAUGACUGCCCUAUGGGUUGUAAACUUCUUUUAUAAAGGAAUAAAGUCGGGUAUGGAUACCCGUUUGCAUGUACUUUAUGAAUAAGGAUCGGCUAACUCCGUGCCAGCAGCCGCGGUAAUACGGAGGAUCCGAGCAUUAUCCGGAUUUAUUGGGUUUAAAGGGAGCGUAGAUGGAUGUUUAAGUCAGUUGUGAAAGUUUGCGGCUCAACCGUAAAAUUGCAGUUGAUACUGGAUAUCUUGAGUGCAGUUGAGGCAGGCGGAAUUCGUGGUGUAGCGGUGAAAUGCUUAGAUAUCACGAAGAACUCCGAUUG